CUCGUAGGCGGUUCGUCGCGUCCGGUGUGAAAGUCCAUCGCUUAACGGUGGAUCCGCGCCGGGUACGGGCGGGCUUGAGUGCGGCAGGGGAGACUGGAAUUCCCGGUGUAACGGUGGAAUGUGUAGAUAUCGGGAAGAACACCAAUGGCGAAGGCAGGUCUCUGGGCCGUCACUGACGCUGAGGAGCGAAAGCGUGGGGAGCGAACA
rnacentral:rRNA from 1 species